GUGCUCACUUCGGCAGCAUAAAUACUAAAGUGGGACAACACAGAGAUCAGGAUGGCCCGUACACAAGGAGAAGACAGGGGAAAUUGUGAAGUGGUGCGUAUAUUU
rnacentral:snRNA from 1 species